rnacentral:rRNA from 1 species
GGGACGAAUAGCUCAGUAAAACUGCGAUGAUUUAGUCUGGCUGUGUAGAUAACUACGUGAAAAUGUAGCUAAGGGAAGGCAGAAUAAGACGCAGGACUAUCAGUUAGUUGGUAGUGUAAUGGACUACCAAGACAGUGACGGUUGACGGGAAAUUAGGGUUUUGUACCGGAGAGGGAGCCUGAGAGAUUGCUCCCACGUCCAAGGACGGCAGCAGGCGCGAAAAUUGCCCACUCUUUGCAGGAGGCAGUUAUGAGACGUGAAGAUGAGUAUCUUGUAAAGAGGGAUAGGAGAAUUGGAGGGCAAGUUUGGUGCCAGCAGCCGCGGUAAUACCGACUCCAAGAGUGUGUAUGAGAGAUGCUGCAGUUAAAAAGUCCGUAGUCAUAGAAGGGCAAAGAGAGAUGCGAGGUCUCACAGUGCGAUGAUGGAGGAGCCGAUGGGGAACAUAGUAUACCAGGGCGAGAGAUGAAAUGCCAAGACCCCUGGUGGACUGAGCGAGGCGAAGGCGAUGUUCUUGUAGGCAUUCGGUGAUCAAGGACGAAGGCUGGAGUAUCGAAAGUGAUUAGAUACCGCAGUAGUUCCAGCAGUAAAAGAUGCCGACAUGCUCAUUGGACACAGUGGGCAGGGAGAAAUCUUAGAGUUCGGGCUCUGGGGAUAGUAUGCUCGCAAGGGUGAAAAUUAAAGAAAUUGACGGAGCUACACCACAAGGAGUGGAUUGUGCGGCUU